rnacentral:rRNA from 2 species
GACAGAGGCCCCAAGCGUUAGGCGGAAUCACUGGGCUUAAAGCGUGUGUAGGCGGAUCGUUAAGUGUCUUGUGAAAUCCCACGGCUCACCCGUGGAACUGCUGGGCAUACUGGCGAUCUUGGGCCAACUAGGGGCAGUCGGAACAAGCGGUGGAGCGGUGAAAUGCGUAGAUAUCGCUUGGAACGCCGAAGGUGAAAACAGACUGCUGGGGUUGCGCCGACGCUGAGACACGAAAGCCAGGGGAGCAAACGGG